rnacentral:misc_RNA from 1 species
AGUCGUAACAAGGUUUCCGUAGGUGAACCUGCGGAAGGAUCAUUACCGAGUUCAUGCCCUUCGGGGUAGAUCUCCCACCCUUUGUAUAUCAUACCUCUGUUGCUUUGGCGGGCCGCCUAGCUACUGGCUUCGGCUGGUAAGUGCCCGCCAGAGGACCCAAAACCCUGAAUAUUAGUGUCGUCUGAGUAAAAAGUUUAAUAUUUAAAA